rnacentral:rRNA from 1 species
UACGUAGGCAGCGAGCGUUAUUCGGAAUUAUUGGGCGUAAAGGGCGCGUAGGCGGCUUGGCAAGUGGAAGGUGAAAUCCCUCGGCUUAACCGAGGAACUGCCCUCCAAACUGCUUGGCUUGAGACCGGGAGAGGUGAGUGGAAUUCCCAGUGUAGCGGUGAAAUGCGUAGAUAUUGGGAGGAACACCAGUGGCGAAGGCGGCUCACUGGACCGGUACUGACGCUGAUGCGCGAAAGCGUGGGGAGCAAACGGG